CAGGGUGGCAGGGUUGAGGUUAG
rnacentral:misc_RNA from 1 species